rnacentral:rRNA from 1 species
CACGUAGGGCGCAAGCGUUUGUCCGGAAUUAUUGGGCGUAAAGAGCUCGUAGGCGGUCUGUUACGUCUGCUGUGAAAACCCGGGGCUUAACCCUGGGCUUGCAGUGGAUACGGGCAGACUAGAGGCAGGUAGGGGAGAAUGGAAUUCCCGGUGUAGCGGUGAAAUGCGCAGAUAUCAGGAGGAACACCAAUGGCGAAGGCAGCUCGCUGGGACGUGACUGACGCUGAGACGCGAAAGCGUGGGGAGCAAACAGG